rnacentral:rRNA from 1 species
GACGAAGGUGGCAAGCGUUGUUCGGAUUCACUGGGCAUAAAGGGCGCGUAGGCGGUUUCGUAAGCGGCAUGUGAAAGCCCCCGACUCAACCGGGGAAGUGCGUGCCGGACUGCGGAGCUAGAGGGUGGUAGGGGGGACUGGAACUCUCGGUGGAGCGGUGAAAUGCGUAGAUAUCGAGAGGAACACCGGUGGCGAAGGCGAGUCCCUGGUCCACUUCUGACGCUGAGGCGCGAAAGCGUGGGUAGCAAACAGG